CUACGGGUGGCAGCAGUGGGGAAUAUUGGACAAUGGGGGAAACCCUGAUCCAGCAAUGCCGCGUGUGUGAAGAAGGCCUGCGGGUUGUAAAGCACUUUCGGUUGGGAGGACUGCUUCUAGCACUAAUAUUGUUGGAAGUUGACGUUACCUUCAGAAGAAGCACCGGCUAACUCCGUGCCAGCAGCCGCGGUAAUAUGGAGGGUGCAAGCGUUAAUCGGAAUUACUGGGCGUAAAGCGCGCGUAGGCGGCUAGAUCAGUCGGGUGUGAAAGCCCCGGGCUUAACCUGGGAACUGCAUCCGAUACUGUCUAGCUUGAGUACAGGAGAGGAGAGUGGAAUUCCACAUGUAGCGGUGAAAUGCGUAGAUAUGUGGAGGAACACCAAUGGCGAAGGCAGCUCUCUGGCCCGAUACUGACGCUGAGGUGCGAAAGCGUGGGGAGCAAACAGGAUUAGAUACCCCAGUAGUC
rnacentral:rRNA from 1 species